rnacentral:rRNA from 1 species
GUCUAUGGCCGUACCACCCUGAACGCGCCCGAUCUCGGAAGCUAAGCAGGGUCGGGCCUGGUUAGUACUUGGAUGGGAGAUCUGGCUGUUCUCACAU